rnacentral:rRNA from 1 species
CCCCUAGAUGUUCUGGGCCGCACGCGCGCUACACUGACCAGUGCAACAAGCAUCCGUCCUUGGCCGACAGGCCCGGGCAAUCUUUGAACGCUGGUCGUGAUGGGGAUAGACUUUUGCAAUUUUUGGUCUUCAACGAGGAAUUCCUAGUAAACGCAAGUCAUCGACUUGCAUUGAUUACAUCCCUGCCCUUUGUACACACCGCCCGUCGCACCUACCGAUUGAAUGGUCCGGUGAAGCCUCCGGAUUGGCGCGCACCUCGGUGCCGCCGAGAAGUUGGCUAAACCUUACCAUUUAGAGGAAGGUGAAGUCGUAACA